UACAGAGGAGCCAAGCGUUGUCCGGAUUGACUGGGCGUAAAGCGCACGCAGGCGGUUGCGCGCGUGGGGUGUGAAAUCUGGCCGCUUAACGGCCAGGCGCCAUCCCAUACGGCGCGACUGGAGUGAUGCAGAGGUCGAUGGAAUUGCCGGUGUAGUGGUGAAAUGCGUAGAGAUCGGCAGGAACACCCAGGGGGGAAACCAGUCGACUGGGCAUCUACUGACGCUGAGGUGCGAGAGCGUGGGGGAGCGAACCGG
rnacentral:rRNA from 1 species